CCUAACACAUGCAAGUCGAGCGGAAACGAUCCUAGCUUGCUAGGAGGCGUCGAGCGGCGGACGGGUGAGUAAUGCAUAGGAAUCUGCCCGGUAGUGGGGGAUAACCUGAGGAAACUCAGGCUAAUACCGCAUACGUCCUACGGGAGAAAGCAGGGGCUCUUCGGACCUUGCGCUAUCGGAUGAGCUUAUGUCGGAUUAGCUGGUUGGUGAGGUAACGGCUCACCAAGGCGACGAUCCGUAGCUGGUCUGAGAGGAUGAUCAGCCACAUCGGGACUGAGACACGGCCCGAACUCCUACGGGAGGCAGCAGUGGGGAAUAUUGGACAAUGGGGGCAACCCUGAUCCAGCCAUGCCGCGUGUGUGAAGAAGGCCCUCGGGUUGUAAAGCACUUUCAGUGAGGAAGAAGGCUUGUCGGUUAAUACCCGGCAAGAAAGACAUCACUCACAGAAGAAGCACCGGCUAACUCCGUGCCAGCAGCCGCGGUAAUACGGAGGGUGCGAGCGUUAAUCGGAAUUACUGGGCGUAAAGCGUGCGUAGGCGGCUUGAUAAGCCGGUUGUGAAAGCCCCGGGCUCAACCUGGGAACGGCAUCCGGAACUGUCAGGCUAGAGUGCAGGAGAGGAAGGUAGAAUUCCCGGUGUAGCGGUGAAAUGCGUAGAGAUCGGGAGGAAUACCAGUGGCGAAGGCGGCCUUCUGGACUGACACUGACGCUGAGGUACGAAAGCGUGGGUAGCAAACAGGAUUAGAUACCCUGGUAGUCCACGCCGUAAACGAUGUCGACUAGCCGUUGGGGUCCUCGAGACCUUUGUGGCGCAGUUAACGCACUAAGUCGACCGCCUGGGGAGUACGGCCGCAAGGUUAAAACUCAAAUGAAUUGACGGGGGCCCGCACAAGCGGUGGAGCAUGUGGUUUAAUUCGAUGCAACGCGAAGAACCUUACCUACCCUUGACAUCGUGCGAACUUUCCAGAGAUGGAUUGG
rnacentral:rRNA from 1 species